AUUUGUGUUCGUUCUCUCUCAUUCGUAUUUCGUGGUCUUCUUCAUUGUUCGUUCUCUGCUAUUUGUGGGUCUCCUCCAUUCAUUCUCUGUCAUUCGUGAAUCCUCUCUCAUUCUCCAUCAAUCUUUUCUCCUUAGUAGCCUCCGACGUGGGUCUUCGUAGGUUUGGCCUCUAGGUCUUUUUUAUUAUCCUUGUAUAGCAUCUUCGUGGAUUCAGUGCUGGUUGAAGCUUUUGAGAAAUGUUAUGAAGUAUGAUAGGCCAUCUCCUGCUAGACUGCAAAUAUUUAAAGAUUUUGCUAAAGAAAAUAAAAUAUAAGCAAAAAAUUGUCUUACAAUGGAUGUUCCAACACGAUGGAAUUCUACUUUUACUAUGCUGGAUGGAGCAAUUGAGUGUCAAAAGACAUUUGAAAGAUUAGAGGAGCACGACCCUAGUUAUUUACCAAAGGAUGAUAUUUCUAUUGUUGAAGAUUGGGAUACUACAAAAAUGUUUGUAAAGUCCCUAAAAACUUUUUCAGAGGUAACAAUGAAGUUUUCUGUAUCUAUGUUUGUGACUUCAAAUAUAUUUUUUCACGAACUCUGUUUAAUCCAAGAAAUAAUUCUUGAAUA